rnacentral:lncRNA from 10 species
CUUCAGCCACUCCCUCCCCAACCCACACGCCAUCAACCUCCAGACCCUCUCGCCGUGGCUUAGAGGUGUCUCUGACAACGUGGCACACUGGGAAGGCCUUCUUUCCUGCUACCAAUACAAAUGCAUUCUGAAUUUGAUAUGUCAUUAAAUGUAAAAAUACAGCCAAUUUGAAACAAGCAAAUGGAAAUUCCCAGGAACCAAAAACAGAAAGAAAAAUCAGAGCUACCGCAGUGCUGUCCCUGCAGACAGAAUUUGGGAGAGGUACUCAGAGUCACCUCCUGUGAGCCUAUGCAAGCCAGCUCCUGCACAACCCUGGUUUUAGUCCAGGUAAAGGCCCGCCCAGGUGUUUGAAUAUGGACUCCUCACAUACUUCUGCAGACUCCAGCUUUGGGUUGACCCAUCGGGGAGAGGGAACUUAGCAUGAACCCUUGUAUAAAAAUGAAAAUCUCUUUCAUUGGAAGGGAAGAUCACUGACUGGGCUAGUCUCCCAAGACCUAGGAAAGAGCUUGGCUGUCAGAGGGUGAGCUAGGGAACGAACUGUGCUUGUUGAUAUCCACAUCCAAGGCUGAUGGCCGGAGGAGGCAGUUAAGAGCAAAAGGCAAUGGACCAAACUACAUCAAAGAUGGGAUUAUAACAAAACUUUAAAAGUUGGUUUACAAUGCAGAAAAUUCAUUCUUCUGGAAACAGACUUGAAAAAAAUAAAAUAUUUACUCUACCUUUCUUGUUCAGAACCAUGCCUUAGGGUAGGUAAAUAUUUGAUUAUGA